UACGAAGGGGGCUAGCGUUGCUCGGAAUCACUGGGCGUAAAGCGCACGUAGGCGGAUUGUUAAGUCAGGGGUGAAAUCCUGGAGCUCAACUCCAGAACUGCCUUUGAUACUGGCGAUCUCGAGUCCGGGAGAGGUGAGUGGAACUGCGAGUGUAGAGGUGAAAUUCGUAGAUAUUCGCAAGAACACCAGUGGCGAAGGCGGCUCACUGGCCCGGUACUGACGCUGAGGUGCGAAAGCUGG
rnacentral:rRNA from 1 species